rnacentral:rRNA from 1 species
AACGAACGCUGGCGGCAGGCCUAACACAUGCAAGUCGAGCGCCCCGCAAGGGGAGCGGCAGACGGGUGAGUAACGCGUGGGAAUCUACCUAGUGGUACGGAAUAGCCCCGGGAAACUUGGAGUAAUACCGUAUACGCCCGAAAGGGGAAAGAUUUAUCGCCAUUAGAUGAGCCCGCGUUGGAUUAGCUAGUUGGUGGGGUAACGGCCCACCAAGGCGACGAUCCAUAGCUGGUCUGAGAGGAUGAUCAGCCACACUGGGACUGAGACACGGCCCAGACUCCUACGGGAGGCAGCAGUGGGGAAUAUUGGACAAUGGGCGCAAGCCUGAUCCAGCCAUGCCGCGUGAGUGACGAAGGUCUUCGGAUUGUAAAGCUCUUUUGGCGGGGACGAUAAUGACGGUACCCGCAGAAUAAGCCCCGGCUAACUUCGUGCCAGCAGCCGCGGUAA